AUUGUGACCAACAACUUCAAACUGUAAUUAUUAGAAAUUUAUAAUCGGAAAAUAUUAUCACAAGAUGCUACAUGUUAUUUAAUUGUGGAAAUAAUUAAUACUAUUUCACUAAUGUUCAAAUGUAAUUAGGUAAGAAAAUCAUUCUUUUUGUAUAUGUUUUGACUAUUAUUUUCUAUAAAAAUAAAUUGGUGGAUAAUUUUUUUUUCUAUAAUUGACAAGGAAACCAUAUUUUAUGUUGACUACACAAUCCCUAUAUAUAAUUAUCCUACACAAAGAAAAAUCAGAAAAUCAAGAAAAUACAUACAAAUGGCUAUUACCAACAAAAUGUUAAUCGCAUUUGUUUUUACUAUCCUUUGUGUCACAUCUGAUAUUCAUUGUAAUACAUAUGCUAGCCCUCCUACUCAUUGUGCUCCAUCUGCUAGCCCUUCUGAUGACGGUCAAGAAAUAAAAUGCUUCACAUACAAUCAGUGUGCAUUCUGGAAGUCAGGGGAGAGACUCUGCGAUGGUAUGUGUAGACGUAUGAAUCAAUUUGUAUAUGGCAGGUGUGCUACUAACAAUAGAUGUUGUUGUUAUUAAGCAUGCAUCAAAUAUGAAAUAAUUUGAUCACAUGUAAUGGUAUUUGCUUAAAAUAAUAAAAUAAUUAAUCUUCAUAAA